AGAGUUUGAUCCUGGCUCAGAAUCAACGCUGGCGGCGUGCCUAACACAUGCAAGUCGCACGAGAAAGGGACUUCGGUCCUGAGUACAGUGGCGCACGGGUGAGUAACACGUGAAUCAUCUACCUUCGAGUGGGGAAUAACUGAGAGAAAUCUUAGCUAAUACCGCAUAAUACCCACGGGUCAAAGCAGCAAUGCGCUUGAAGAGGAGUUCGCGGCAGAUUAGUUAGUUGGCGGGGUAAUGGCCCACCAAGACGAUGAUCUGUAUCCGGCCUGAGAGGGCGCACGGACACACUGGAACUGAAACACGGUCCAGACUCCUACGGGAGGCAGCAGUGGGGAAUUUUGCGCAAUGGGGGAAACCCUGACGCAGCAACGCCGCGUGGAGGAUGAAAUCCCUUGGGAUGUAAACUCCUUUCGAUAGGGAAGAUAAUGACGGUACCUAUAGAAGAAGCCCCGGCUAACUUCGUGCCAGCAGCCGCGGUAAUACGAGGGGGGCAAGCGUUGUUCGGAAUUAUUGGGCGUAAAGGGUGCGUAGGCGGUUUGACAAGUCUUGUGUGAAAUCUAUGGGCUCAACCCAUAGUCUGCACAGGAAACUGUCGGGCUUGAGUAUGGGAGAGGUGAGUGGAAUUUCCGGUGUAGCGGUGAAAUGCGUAGAUAUCGG
rnacentral:rRNA from 1 species